UCCUUCGGACUUCUCCUCUAGGUUUGCUGCUGUCCUCUUCUGUGAGCUCAUUCUGCCCCUCCUCUUCCCUUUAACUCUCUCGAGGUUAUCCAUUCACUUAAAACAUGGCUUCUGGC
rnacentral:lncRNA from 1 species